UCGGGUUAGUCUUGUACGACCAGGCUCCCGUUGAACUCCCCCAGAUCCGGAAGGAAGCAAGGGUAAACGGUUGAGCGGUGCGAUGCAAGUAGCUAACCC
rnacentral:SRP_RNA from 1 species